GUAGGUCACAGAUGCAGCUCAGAUCCGGAGUUGCUAUGGCUGUGACAGAGGCUGGCAUCUGUAGCUUCCAUUCGACCCCUAGCCUAUGAACUUCCAUGUGCUGUGGGUGUGGCCCUAAAAAAAAAAGACAAAAAAAAAAAAAAAGAAAUUAAACCAAACAAUUCAAAAUUAUUCUACUGCCUGCUUCUUUCUCACUCCAUAGUAUGCAAAUGUCGGAAGGUUGAAGUGACAGAAAUUAUAGAUUGCCUGAUUUCUUUAGAUAUCAGGAGCUGUGAGAUUCCAGAGGAGCAUAGGAUCCCUCACCCCAGGACUGAAUCUUAAUUAAUCUAACCAAAUCCCAGUCAUUUGUUGCCCUGAUUGCCACUGAUUCAUUUAAGAGAGAGGAAUGUGAUGCAAUUCUUGCCAGUGAUUUGAAGGUCCUCAGCUGGAGGCUUCUAAAAAAGUUAUUCUUGCUCUUAAAAGACACUUAAGGACAAAUUCUCCCUUCUUUUACCUUUUGUGAUUAAGCCAUGGCUAGAGCUGCUGCAGCUGAGUUGUAGUCAUAAGGCAAGUCCGUAUGCUAAGGACAGCUGAGCAGAAAGGUAGAAAAUACUUGAGUCCUCAUAGCUGUGACCUGGCAAUUGAAGUAACUCACACGGAAAUUACCCCGCUUCUACAGUUCUCAGGUUUUCUGCUGGCUGUGAUUUUUAGAUUAUUUGUACUUUAUUGUUUUUCUUUGUUAUAAUAAAAUAGUCUGGCACAAUGUGACACAUUAGCAAUACUGUGAUUUGAUGUUUCCUGAUGGCCUACCAGUUAAGGAUUUGGCAUUGUCAUUGCUGUGGCUCAGGUUCAAUCACUGGCCCAGGAACUUCCACAUGCCACAAGGGCAGCCAUCCCCCCUACACAAAAUACUAUGAUUCAGUGGAUAUAAAUAGAAUUUAGAGGCCAAGGACCUGAGUUUGAAUUCUGAUGCUAAGUUUCUCACUUGGAGAACUUGAGUCAGUUACUUAAUUCUGUUCAUUGUUCAUUCAGUCAGUAAGUUAGACGACAAACAAUUUUUUUUUUUUUUCUUUUUAGGGCUGCACCUGCAGUAUAUGAAAGUUCCCAGGCUAGGGGUUGAAUCAGAGCUGCAGCUGUAGGCCUAUACCACAGCCACAGCCAUGCAGGAUCCAAGCCAUAUCUGUGACUUUUAUCAUAGCUCAUAGCAAUACCAGAUCCUUUAACCCAUUGAAUGUGGUUGGGGAUCAAACCUGCAUCUUCAUGGAUAUAAGUUGGGUUCAUUUUCUGCUGAGCCACAAGGGGAACUUCAGGCUACAAACAAUUAUUGGCUCUAUAUUCUGCCCUCACUUCUGUAGUGCUCAAGGGCAAAGAGAAAGACACACAGAGCAAUAAAAGAAGCAGGCAGCUUGGACUGCUCUGAGCUCUAAUAUAUUGCUCUGAGAAAGAGAGCAUGCUCAUCUUCUUGUCUAAGGCCACUGAUUUCUGGGUUCUCUUCCAAGUAGUGAAUCUGAACAGCUGAUACCAACUGGGUGGAUGCAUAACUAAGUGACUCAUUUUUCAGGAGUGACUCCUAGCAUUCGGUAGGAGAGGUGAAACUCAAUAAUGUCUAGAACAUCCCUCAAACAACCCCGUUCAAGUUAAGCUUUCUGUACAUAAUGGGUUUUUCUCCAGUUGUGUGCUGGAGCUAUCCAUACAGACAAGGGAUUGUACAUCCAUCAGGACUUUUUCUCUUUUGUGUUCAUUUUUUCUCAAGCAAGCCAGUCACAUUUCAUUCAAUAGCCUCAUCAGUUAUCUGUAGCAAAAAGCCAGUCAAAUGCCCCUCAGAUUGUCUCAGAAGUUGGAAACAGCUAGACUUUAUGGAUUCCACAUUUCUUUUAUCCACUGUUACUUUAUGGUCAUUAUUUUUUUAAUGGGGAUCUUAUCACCAGGACAACUAAGAAUGGAAUGUGUGCAGUUAGCUUGCUCAGAUUCCUUCUGUGUUUUUGUCUUUCUGCAUUAUUGUGGCUAAAAGAAGGCAAGAAAUUCCAUUUUUAUUAUCUUGUCUCUCUCAGAUUGGUCUUUUACAGUUUCACUCUGUCUCCAUGCGUGGUUGAUUUGCACAUAGUCUUCUUUCUACUAUUUAUCUUUUAUCAUGCCUCAAAAAAUAGCAUCCUCAAUAAUGGCAUUGGUCAUCAUAAAGACUCUAAAGAAAUCUAUUAGUUUAUUAUAAGAGUUCAGGAGGUACACAUGUGAGGGUGUGUUGCUAAUUGUCAAUUACUUUUUAGCUACUAAUUUUAACUGUUGAUAGCUAAGCUUAACUACUGAGAAGUCCUUAAAAAUAAUAGAACACUCAUAGCUAAUGGCAUCAAGUUUUAAUAGAAAAGGCUUAUUUUUAUUUCAAAUAUAUGUCUUAUAGUCUUCUAUGUUAAAUCAAAAUAUACAUAGGGGAGUUCCCAUUGUGGCUCAGUGGUAACAAACCUGACUAGUAUACAUAAUGAUAUGGGUUCAAUCCCUGGCCUCUCUCAGUGGGUUAAGGAUCCAGUGUUGCCGUGAGCUGUGGUGUAGUUUGCGGAAGCAGCUCGGAUCCCAUGUUACUGGCUGUGGUGUAGGCCUGCAGUUACAGCUCCCAUUCAACCCUUAGCCUGGGAACUUACAUAUGCCAUGGGUGUUGCCCUAAAAAGACACAAAAAAUGUGUAUAUAUAUAUAUAUACACAUAGGAAGGAAAAUAUAAAAAUAUUUCUCAGAUUUUAGAAAUGUAGCUGGCAGAAUGCUAAAUGUUUUAAGUUGUCUUUAAUGUCACACAAUGUAAAAUAGUAUAUUCAAUUCACUCCUAGGUAUCCAAAAGAAAUGAAAAUAGAGACCCUGAUACUUGUAUGCUAACGUUAUUAGCAGCAUUAUUCACAAUAGACAAUAAGUGGAAACAACCCAAGCUCCAUCAAUAGAUGAACAGAUAAAUAAAAUGUGGUAAAUAGAUACAAUAGAAUAUUAUGCAGGCAUGAAAAGAAUGAAGUUCUGAAUCACUCAAUAACAUGGAUGGACCUUGAAAUAGUAUUUUAAGUAAAAUAACCUAGAUACAAAAGAACAAAUAGUUGAUUUUGUUUGGAUGGUUAUACUUAUACAAAAUAUCUAGAAAAAGGCAAAUUGAUAGAAAGAAGACAUUAUCAGGGACAGAGGGUUGGGGAGAAUGGGCAGUUGUUGCAUAACAGGUGAAGAAGUUUUCUUUGGGGUUGUAAAAACUUUUGGAACUAGACAAUGGUGAUGGUGGUACAACAUUAUGAGUGUAAUUAAUGCCGUGGAAUGGCACAGCUAAAAAUGGUUACCAUGGCAAAUUUUACAUUGCAUAUAUGUUACUACCAAAACAAAAUAAAACAAUAGUAUGUUUGGUUAGAUGUAUUUAUUUGAAAGGAUUUUAUGGGAUUUCAGAUUUUACUUGUAAGGUGGUUUUUGUUAGUCUAAUGAGUCACAUGCACAUAAAAUCCACAGUUCAUCUUAAAGGGAGAUAAAAAUAUUCUAACCCAUAGAAGUUUAAUCAUUCUCUUACCUCUUCUGCUUUAACUAAAAACAGACAUGUCUAUAUUUUUCUGAUCGGAAGUUGGGACCCUUUACAGUAAUAAGUUUCAACUCUUAGUUUAAUUUUCUUGCUUGUGACCUCAGAUUUUUUUUUCCCCUAAAAACUGUAGAGUUAAGCUCUAGAGAGAAAGUAUUUUAAAAUAUUAAUUUGUUCUACCCUUGCAUUAUAAGGAUGAGUUAAGCAGAAUACAAAAAGGACAAAUGGUCCACUUGGCUGGACCAGAGGAACUCAGCCUAACAGAGGCAAGCUAGGUGUUAGUGAUUAAUAUAUGAGGCUCCAAUAAUUUCUCUUCUCUUAUCGAAGUGAAUAUUUUCUCAGCUGACCUUUUUCUGUAUUUGAGAUCUUCUAUGCUGGGGCAGCAUAUUUAGAUCCUACUUCUCCCUAUCAGCAAAUAUUAGCCUGAGAUUUAGUCAUGAUUAUAUUGUCUCUCAGCGUGAACCUAGUAACCAACCUCUAUACUGCACCCAACCCCCACUGAAAAGUAAAGUCGGCUUUGCCAAAAUUCCAAAGAUAACCUUCAUGGUCACAUUAGUGAGAAACGCAAGGACUUACAACUUGGAUUUUGGAAGAGGAGAUGGGUGGGAUGCCUGUAAUGAGAAUAACCCAAUAGGAACCCUGAGAAAUCCUGACUCAUGAGGAAUAGGGACAGCCCAGCUGAAGCCCCACCAUGAACAAUUUUAUCCUCUACAAGGAUUUCCACUACUGGAGUGAGGACAUAGGGAGUGGUUUGGAAGGUCAUUAGAAGUGAGCUAUAAGGUUACCAGGGCAAGCUCAAUCCUUGUGGCUCUUAAGAAUCUGUAUGAUGCUCCAGAAGCCAGAAAAGCUUGACUUUAGAAAGACCUCACAUCAUGGAAAAGUUAUGUCUCCAGUAACAAAUGACAUUUUCUACACUGAUGGGUGACAUCCUCAGCAUAUUGCUCAUACGACAUAGAUGCUUCCAGGAUUUGUAAGGUGCCAGAACAGAAGGAAAAAUGAGAUAAGAGUGAACAGAACAACCGCACGGAGACCAAGACGGAAGAGGCAAGUGAAAAUAUUGAGAUAUCACUGUUUUAUGGAGAACUUCUAGAAAAUGAGUUUACUUUCUCUUGUUCUUGGACAUUCUUCCAUAGUGAUAUGGAUAGGGAAUACUUGAGAUUUCACUUGAGUCUGAGAAUAGUUAUUUGAAUUAGAGUUUAUUUACUUUUUCUGUUAUUUGGAAAACAAAUGCACCAAGAAAGGUGCUAUGCACUGAGAAUACUAAAAAAGGAUAAGAAAUUUGUUCAUCUUAAAGGACAAGAGGGGACUCAUACAGCUUAAACAAGUGAUAACUGUCACUAUACAGUGAGGUGAAUAAUGUGAUGGGAGUGCUUUGGGCAUAUGGUAAAUGUCGUUUAAUUAACUUAUUGUAGUUUAGAGAGAGAAGUCAAAAAGAGAUUCUUGGCAAAGUACGUAAGGUUUAGAGUGAUAAAUAUAAGAAAAUUUUGAAUUAAUCGAAGGAGAUGGAAGUAGAUUUGGGAGAGGUUGCCCUGAGAGAGGUUCGUGGGCAGGAUAUAAUUGAGGAUUUUUAAAGCUAUUAUCUUAUUUUCCACAAUAUUUCAUUAUAAGGGUUAAAAGUUCCAAAAAUCUGUGAAGAGAAUUCUCUUUUUCACAGAGAAAAUUCCUGAUCACUGCUGAUUUUUAGCGAUAAUCCCAUGGCAAAAGUAAUUCUUCAUUCUGUAUUACUGGAAUGUGUGUGUGUGUGUGUGUGUGCGUGAGAGAGAGAGAGAGAGAGAGAGAGAGACACACACAGAGACCUACCAGUGAAUGCUGAUAUGACCAGAGGAGAAGGAAGCUUCUAUAAUGUUGGCAGGCCAUGGAAGGCAUCAUUUCUAACUCACCACUGGGGAUACAGUGGUGUUCCCUGCCACUUCUUUGGGUCAGUUUUAGGUAGGAGACAAUGAAGAGUAAUCCCUGACAUUGUGGAGCCUCCAGAUGAGGAGAGAAUAUGAAUGAGUCAUUACAAAUUUGGAAUGUGCAUGUGUAUGUAGAUGUGCAUGUAUGUAUGUACAUGUAUGUCAAUACACAUUCAUAAAUAAAUACAUGUGAUUUCUUAUAGGGCCCUGAAUUUACCUAAUUGUGGGAGCAGACUUAAGCAGCUCUGUUAAGGCUGAUGCUGGAACUUGAGGUCUCUAGGGCAGGUGCCUGAAAUGGCAAAAUGGAUUUAAAGCAGGAGAGAGAGAGAACAAGCUGGAGACUUGAGUCAGAGCCCAAGAGGCUGGGCUGAAACCCAUGUCACUCUUUGGUUGCCUUGGCCAUUGGUAGUAGGGGGUCCUGCAGAGUCCAGGGCUGCAGAGACCAGGGCUCCUCAUCCCAGAGCCCAGUACACAUGCUUGACCUGAAAGUUGAAGAAGCUGCAGGAGGAUGAAGGGGAAGCUGGAUCAGCUUACAGAACAGGCUGCUGGUCAUGCAAAGGAGGAGAGCCAAUAAUUGUCAACAACGCAUGUGAGAGCAACAACACAGCUGCCUCUUCACUUCUGCCCUCCUGAUCUCUCAUAAGAACCUCUUUUGUGCCUCACCCUAAUUGAAAGCUUAAUGGAAAAAGAAUCCUAGGAUAUAAAGUUUAGCAGAAUUGAAUUAAAAACAUGUUACAAAGCCACACAGAAAUGUUAGAAAGCAGACUCAUGGUCAUGGCAGCAAGAGAGUUGUCAAUGAGAGGGCACUGGGAUGCUGGUCAUGUCUUUUCUUUUUCCAACUGCACCUGCAGCAUUCAUACCUUCCUGGUCCAGGGAUGGAAUCUGCACCACAGUAGUGACAACACUGGGUCAUUAACUUCUAGGCCAGAAGGGAAAUCCUGUCCCAUUAAAAAAAAAAAACAAAUCUGGAUUCUGGGUUCAUUUUGUGAACAUUCUUAAAGGGAUGUCCUUAUGAUUUUGCAUCUUCUCUGUGUAGGUAGUACUUCAAUAAAAAGUAAAAUAAGUCGAUAAAAAAUUCCCGGUAAUCACCAACAUGGUGAACAUUAUCCAUGAGUGAGAACAAAUAUUCUGAAGGCUGACCUAACAAGGGGCUCAGGAAGGGCUACCUUGUAUGGUUCACUUUUAAGAUGAGACUGAAAUGGAGUCCACUCUUUGGAUGCAGAUGGUAGACAGAACUAUUCAGAAGAAGAGUGAAAGUGCACGAGGAGCCCAGCUGAAUUGAGAACAGUGAGACAGGAGGGAGAAAUGAGGCUUACAGAAGAUCCAGAGACCAAAUAAUGGUGUCUCAUUCUGCUCAGGCUGCCCUACAGAAUACCAUGGCUGUGUGGCUUAAAUAACAUACUUUUCUCACAGUUCUCCAAAGUAGAAGUCCAAGAUCAGGGCUGCAGGUGGUUACCUUCUCUCCGUGCAUUCACAUGGACUUUGCUUUGGGCCUAUUAGAUUAUGACCCACCCUUAUGAUCUCCACUAGCCUUAAUUUCCUCCUCAAAGCACUAUCUCCAAAUACAGCUGUAUUGGGGUUUAGGGCUUCAACAUAUAAUUUCUGAGGCAGACAGUUUUUUUUUUCUAACAAAUGGAGAGCUCUGUGUGAUGCAUAAAAUACUUUUUGCUCUGUCUUAAGUAUAAGAUUGUGCUUAAAACUUUUAUGAGUGGGAGUGACUUCAUGAGGUUUUAAAAGACCACUCUGUUUGCAGACUGGAGGGGGUGAAAGAGUGAGGACAAGGAGAUCUAUUAAAGGAAGUUGAAGUGUUCCAGGACAGAGGAAGGGAGUGGGUGCUUAGAUUAAAUGGAUCAAAGAGUGUUGUGAAGCGGCUACAAACAAUGCAGAAAAACUUGGAUAUGAAUCCAGGCUCUGCAUUUACUAGGUGAUACUUUGGGGCAAUUUUUGCUUAAGGUACGUUUCAAGUUUUGCAUCUGCAAAGUAAAGAUCAUAAUAAAAGGCCCUCCAUACAAUGUCAAAGGUUAGGCUCCUUGAGAUACAGAAACUGACAGAACUGGUGCAGGGAGUUUAUUGGAGAGUUUGUAGGGGUAAAAGAAGCAGAAUUGGGCAGGGGACGGGUUUAAGUGUAAUAGAGUCAUAGCAAAGGUCUCUGCCAAUUUUAAUGGGAGUAUUGGAGCAGGAUGGUCUUCCUCCCACUGGAAUCCUUUCAAAUUGAGGUGGCAGGGUUUGUGUUUGAACUUGUGCACUGAUCAAGCAUGGGGAAGGACUGGAGUUCCCAUCAUGGCUCAGUGGUUAACUAAUUCGACUAGGAACCAUGAGAUUGCGGGUUCAGUCUGUGGCCUUGCUCAGUGGGUUAAGGAUCCAGCAUUGCCGUGAGCUGUGGUGUAGGUCGCAGAUAUGGCUCAGACCUGGCAUUGCUGUGGCUCUGGCUCUGGCCAGCAGCUACAGCUCCGAUUAGACCACUAGCCAGGACACCUCUAUAUGCUGCGAGUGCAGCCCUAGAAAAUACAAAAAAAAAAAAAAAAAAAA
rnacentral:lncRNA from 1 species